ensembl:lncRNA
GGGGCAGAGCGGAGAGGAGCAGAGCGGCCCUCUGCCGGGCUCGGUGCGGCCGCGCCCUGGUGGGUAUGGAAUGGAGCGAGCGCCGGGGCUGAAGUCAGCGACGGGAAACCGAGCGACAAAAACAGAAGGUCUCGGCGGCGUGCGGUACAGGAAGGCGCCCAGAGCUCAGAAGCAGCCGCGCUCAGCGGGUCUCGCAGAGCGGAGCGCUUCACGGAACCGCUGCCAGAGAGAGAACCCCGCGCGGAGCCGCCCCCGGGGCAGCAGCGCCGGCAGCGGGCGUGGGGGAGGGCAGAGCCGGGCCUGGGGCUUCGGGCACGCUUCCAUGUCUGACACCGUUUUGUCAGACCGCCCCUCGGCGCCGUCUGCCACACGGCAGCGCGUCCAGAACGUUGGUGGGAAGAUUCAGCCUCUGCUGCUAUCCCACCAACGUCCACCUCUGAUAUCGUGGGCCAACGUCAUAGAAUAAGAGGCGUUACUUUCAGAGCAGCCCUCGCAUUUUAGACUUCUAUCAAAGAUCAGUAGUUAAUGGUUGCUUUGCAGUUGCAGCAACACUCGUGCUACAAAAGACUAAACGCAGCCAUUAGCAGCCCAGCCCACCAGCAGCAGUACCACAGAUGAAACCUAAUUGCUACAAGCACAAGAGUGGCAGAAAAUUCACCACCGCACGUAUGUAUGUCCCUGGUGCCUGGCUGCUCGCUUGCAAGCACUUGCGAGGUGGGUGGAGGUCAGCAGGCUUCAAAAGCAGUUGAAAACAAAAAGACAGUUCCUUCUUAAAGGAGAUCCAAUAGCAGGCAGUGCUGGGACACGAUCGCGGACACCAUGGUGUGGUUCCAGCUUGCCAGAAUGAAGGUACAGCGGGCAGCACUCAGCAUCGAAAGCAUGCAAGAAGAAAGCCAGGAUAUCCCCUAACGGAGCUGCACAGCUGUGGUUAUUAUCCUGACACUGCAACAUAAGCAAAGCAAACAAAAGUAAUGCUUAAGUGGCAAUGCAAGAAAGAAACUGGAGACUGGAUUCCUCACCACAGCCACUGGAAGGUAAGGCAAAGCCAGGAGGAUUCCUACUUUUAGAACAUUCAUAGAAUUUUUUAACAAACCAGUACAUGCAGGACCUGUAAUUAGAUAUCCCAAAUUCCUGUGCUGACUUAGAAGAUAAUAACCGAUUUGCAGGGAGAGAUGCUUGCAUGUAUUGCCUUUGGAAAAGAUCUGAGACUGAAUCAUGAGCAUCUUCAUCCUUGAAGCCAAUGUUGCUCUGAAGGAAACACUGAAGGGUGAAGUAGAAGAAGUCAUUUCACAGCUUUGAUUAAAAAUAUUAAACUCACACCUUUUAUAUGUAGCACUAGGAUAAAAUACAAAGUUGGGAACAUAAACUGUGUCUGUUACAUAGCCCUAACGCUUCCUGUGCGCCCUUAUUCUCCACGCACAUAAGACAUUGGUAGGGUGGAUUGAAGAGUGGUUUGUGUGCUUCUGCAAAGAAACUGAUAGACCGACAGCUCCAAGCUCCCCACAGGAUCUGUG